UUUUAUAGCAACUGUUGCCCAGUGAGGCAGCGCCAUAGUCACCGUAGUCCUGGCGACUGUAACCCACCAACAACAACAACCUUUCGUUCCAUCAUUGCCACCUCCACCAUCCUCACUUCAUCCUCAUCAACCAGUCCUCAGCCCAGUUUGGAGGAGCGUCUGUGCGAGCUGGUGAGACAAUACGAGAACGUUUACAACCCUUUGAUGCGGUUGUAUUCGGACAAGCAAAAGACAACAGCUGGAGGGAGAUAUCACAGAAUUUGAACACCGGUACUGAUAUCAAAGAAACAUGGAGAAAGAUUCAGGACCGGUAUGUUUGCAAUCUGAAAAAGGUGAAGGAGAUGAGUAGUGGGUGUCUGUCCCACCGAUUGUCAGACCACUAGAUUGGCUUCGUGUUCACGUGAAGCAUCAUCAGACAGACACCAAUAUGCCAGAUACGGUAUGUACUCGUCACGCAGCCGAGUCGUUUUGUGCAGUCAGUGUGUGUGUUUGUGAUCUUAUGUUUAGCGGACCUUGUUAGAACAUGUGAAAUCAGCUCUUUUCUGAAUGGGCAAAAUUGUGAGUGUGGAAAAUGUUCAGUGGCUGUGUUAUCAUACUGAGGGCUAGUUCAAACACCAGAAAACCUACAGAGUGGUGUGUGUGUUAAUUAGAUUGAGAUGUUUAUGAAAUCAUUUCUUUUGGGUAAACAUUUCAACUCAAAGGAGUCCAUGGAGAUGGUUUAAGAUUGCUUGCAUUGUAUUCACCAUCUGCUUUUGUGGUGUUUUGGACAGUCCGGAGAUGGAGCUGAGCCCUGAGGGGCCCCAUCUACAGGUGGUUUAUCGCCCCUUGAUUCAUCAUCUCCCCGGCUAGCAAAGACCCGUGCUCUCUGCCCUGCAACUCCAUCAACCUCCAUCCCAUCUCCCCGGCCCAGCUCCAAUGGCCGGAAGAGGAAGACCGCCUGGGAUCCUUUGGACACUGACAUUAUGCAGCGCGUGGAUGCCUGCAGCAGGAGUUCCAGAAACCGCAGCAGUGUUCAGCAAAGGCUGUCUACGACGUCGUGGUACCAGGGAUGGUGUCUAUUCCUGCUGAUCAACGUCUCUUGUUUGUCUCACUCCAAAAACGAUUGUGCUUUAAAAAAUAUAUAUUAUUCAUACAUUAGGGUGGUGGGUAAUUUACUGUUUUUUUUUUUGCAUAUUUUUUUAUACUUAUUUCCUCAUUCAUGUGUUACUGGUGUUUACUUUGUUUUAAAAAGUCUUCCCUUUUCAUCACACUUCACCUGUUUUUACGUUGCACCAUUUUUUUCAUGUGGUAGUAAAUACAUAUCUAAAAGGUCUGCAAAUGUAUUUGUCUGGUUAUUUGUACUUAUACUGUACAAAUAUGUAAAUGCAACAUGAGUUACAGUUCACAUAAGGAAAUCAGUCAAUUGAAAUAAAUUCAAUAGGCCCUAAUCUAUGGAUUUCACAUGACUGGGCAGGGGUUCAGCCAUGUGUGGGCCUGGGAGGGCCAUAAGGCCACCCACUGGGGAGCCAGGCCUUGCCAAUCAAUUUGUUUUUUUUCCCCACAAAAGGGCUUUAUUACAGACAGAGAUACUCCUCAGUUUCAUCAGUUCUUAGGGUGGCUGGUCUCAGACGAUCCCGCAGGUGAAGAAGCCGGAUGUGGCGGUCCUGUGCUGGCGUGGUUGCAUGUGGUCUGCGGUUGGGAGACUGGUUGGACGUACUGCUAAAUUCUCUAAAAUGGUGUUGGAAGCAGCUUAUGGUAGAGAAAUGAACAUUCAAUUCUCUGGCAACAGCUCUGGUGGACAUUCCUGCAGUCAGCAUGACAAUUGCCCAUACCCUCAACUUAAGACAUCUGUUGCAUUGUUGUGACAACUGCGCAUUUUAGUGGCCUUUUAUUGCCCCCAGCACAAGGUGCACCUGUGUAAUGAUUAUGCUGUUUAAUCAGCUUCUUGAUAUGGCACACAUGUCAGGUGGAUGGAUUAUCUUGGCAAAGGAGGGAAUGCUCACUAACAGGGAUGUGAACCAAAUUUGAGAGAAAUAAACUUUUUGUGCGUAUGGAACAUUUCUGGGAUCUUUUAUUUCAGCUAAUGAAACAUGUACCAACACAUUUCAUCUUGGUUUUAUAUUUUUAUAUUACUGUUUUGAAUCAGUCACUCAGUAAACUUGUACUGCUUUGUACAUGAGCUAUGUAGAUGAGGUUAGUGUCUUGGGGGGAAACCGAUCGCUGCCCACACCUGCCCGCUCAUCUAGUAUCACUACUCUGUACGGUUCUGACUUAUAAUAUGUGGACAACUACAAAUACCUAGGUGUCUGGUUAGACUGUAAACUCUCCUUUCAGACUCGCAUUAAGCACCUCCAAUUCACCACCAGUCUACAGCUGGACACUCACCCGUGUGCAAAAGCAGGAAGGUCUCCACUGAAAGGCCACUACACAUGACCAUGUGCAAUCUUGUGUUAUGUAGAUUAAGUUAAUGUCUCAAGGGUCUAGCCUAGGCAAUUAUUUUCCAUGGAGGGCCACAUUAGAAUAUAUUUUUGC
ensembl:lncRNA